GGGCCUCUGGCGCAACGGUAGCGCGUUGUAAGUUCCACUAUUAAUCACUUGUGGCUCAAUUUCCAUAUUCUAACAAUAUCAUAGCGACUCCAGAUCGAAAGGUUAUCCGUUCAAAUCGGGUGGGGCUCA